AUGAAUGUGCAAGGUACAUUUGGGUACUUAGAUCCAGAGUAUUUCCAUACCAGGCAGUUGAACGGGAAGAGCGACAUGUACAGUUUUGGUAUGGUACUAGUGGAGUUGCUUCUCAGAAAGAAGCCUGUUUUUACAAGUGAAUCAGGCACAAUUAAGAAUUUGUCAAAUUAUUUUCUCCAGGAGUUCAAUGAGGGGAGAAUCACAGGUAUUGUUAAUUCUCAGGUCCUGGAGGAGGCAACCGAGGAAGAGAUCAACGGUGUCGCCUCUCUUGCAGAGCGAUGCUUAAGACUGUGUGGUGAAGAAAGACCCACCAUGAAACAAGUGGAGACCGAACUGCAGACCCUACGAGCAAAGUUGGUGAACUCAUAUCAAGCAAACCUUAGAAAUGAAGAGCAAAUACAACCAAGUUGGUUAACUCGAAGAUCUGGAGCCGAUCAUCAAUCUUCUGUGACGAUAUUGGACGUCAAAGCCGACGUGCAGUCCGGAGGCUGUUACAGCUUGGAGGUAGAGUUCAUGGCAUCUGCUAGCCUUCCACGCUAG
rnacentral:rRNA from 1 species